GAUGAACGCUGGCGGCGUGCUUAACACAUGCAAGUCGAACGGAAAGGCCCAAGCUUGCUUGGGUACUCGAGUGGCGAACGGGUGAGUAACACGUGGGUGAUCUGCCCUGCACUUCGGGAUAUGCCUGGGAAACUGGGUCUAAUACCGGCUAGGACGAUGGUCUGGAUGACAUUGUGGAAUGUUUUUUCGGUGUGGGAUGAGCUCGCGGCCUAUCAGCUUGUUGGUGGGGUAAUGGCCUACCAAGGCGUCGACGGGUAGCCGGCCUGUGAGGGGGUACGGCCACAUUGGAACUGGGAUACGGCCCAGGCUCCUACGGGAGGCAGCAGGGGGGAGUAUGGCACAAUGGGCGCAAGCCUGAUGCAGCGACGCCGCAUGGGGGGUGACGGCCUUCGGGUUGUAGACUCCAAUCGCUAUGGACGAAGCGUUUUAGUGACGGUACCGGGAGAAGAAGCACCGGCUAACUACGUG
rnacentral:rRNA from 1 species